rnacentral:rRNA from 1 species
CUGGCUNCUGAAUUAGCGGCGGACGGGUGAGUAAUGCCUAGGAAUAAGACUGGUAGNUGGGGGACAACGUCUCGAAAGGGACGCUAAUACCGCAUACGUCCUACGGGAGAAAGCAGGGGACCUUUGGGCCUUGCGCUAUCAGAUGAGCCUAGGUCGGAUUAGCUAGUUGGUGAGGUAAUGGCUCACCAAGGCGACGAUCCGUAACUGGUCUGAGAGGAUGAUCAGUCACACUGGAACUGAGACACGGUCCAGACACCUACGGGAGGCAGCAGUGGGGAAUAUUGGACAAUGGGCGAAAGCCUGAUCCAGCCAUGCCGCGUGUGUGAAGAAGGUCUUCGGAUUGAAAAGCACUUUAAGUUGGGAGGAAGGGCAUUAACCUAAUACCGUUAGUGAUUUGACGUUCCGACAGAAUAAGCACCGGCUAACUCUGUGCC